rnacentral:rRNA from 1 species
GACGAACGCUGGCGGCGUGCUUAACACAUGCAAGUCGAACGGAAAGGCCCUGCUUUUGUGGGGUGCUCGAGUGGCGAACGGGUGAGUAACACGUGAGUAACCUGCCCUUGACUUUGGGAUAACUUCAGGAAACUGGGGCUAAUACCGGAUAGGAGCUCCUGCUGCAUGGUGGGGGUUGGAAAGUUUCGGCGGUUGGGGAUGGACUCGCGGCUUAUCAGCUUGUUGGUGGGGUAGUGGCUUACCAAGGCUUUGACGGGUAGCCGGCCUGGGAGGGUGACCGGAUCCACUGGAAUGGAGAUACGGCCCAGACUCCAACGGGAGGCAGCAGUGGGGAAGAGUGCACAAGGGGCGGAGGCCUGAUGCAGCAACGCCGCGUGCGGGAAGACGGCCUUCGGGUUGUAAACCGCUGUCGCCUGUGACGAGGCGUGAGUGACGGUAAUGGGUAAAGAAGCACCGGCUAACUACGUG